GCCCGAGCGACAGCGACGGCGCCGGCCGGGGCCGCGGCGCGCGGAAGCCACUUUGCACGGUCAGCGCCGGGCACAAGUUUGUUCCGCGGCUCCCGGGGGCCUGGGCGCUGAGGGAGAAUCGCGCUGAGGGGGCCAGGAGGAGGGGGAGAGGGAGGCGCCGAAGGGCACAAGAGUGGGGAAAAGUGCGGAAAGAAGCAACAGCCGCUCCACCCGGGACCAGAAAAGUGGCCAGUGCGUCCCGGCCGCCCGCCCUGCGCCGGGGAUGCGGCGGCGUCGGCGCCGGCUAACGGUCCAGGGAGGCGGCAGGGGCGGCGGGAGCCGCUAGGCGGAGAGAGACCAGGGCCUACUGCAGUGCAUGAAGGUGGUAUGGACUCAGAACUCUGAAGUCUGAGGAGACAAAUACAUGCCCACCAUAACAACAUCACACAAUACCUAGAGUCAAAACAGUUAUCCCUAUUCCUACCCCCAACUGAGUUAUUCAAUAAAGCCUGCCUUGUUGAAUCUGUU
rnacentral:lncRNA from 10 species